UACGGGGGGGGUAAGCGUUGUUCGGAAUUACUGGGCGUAAAGGGCUCGUAGGCGGCCAACUAAGUCAGACGUGAAAUCCCUCAGCUUAGCUGGGGAACUGCGUCUGAUACUGGAUGGCUUGGAUUCGGGAGAGGAAUGCGGAAUUCCAGGUGUAGCGGUGAAAUGCGUAGAUAUCUGGAGGAACACCGGUGGCGAAGGCGGCAUUCUGGACCGAUAUUGACGCUGAGGAGCGAAAGCCAGGGGAGCAAACGGG
rnacentral:rRNA from 1 species